UACGUAGGGUGCGAGCGUUAAUCGGAAUUACUGGGCGUAAAGUGUGCGCAGGCGGCCAUGCAAGUCGAGUGUGAAAGCCCCGGGCUUAACUUGGGAAUUGCGCUCGAAACUACGUGGCUGGAGUGUGGCAGAGGAAGGUGGAAUUCCACGUGUAGCGGUGAAAUGCGUAGAGAUGUGGAGGAACACCAAUGGCGAAGGCAGCCUUCUGGGCCAACACUGACGCUCAUGCACGAAAGCGUGGGGAGCAAACGGG
rnacentral:rRNA from 1 species